rnacentral:rRNA from 1 species
GACGAACGCUGGCGGCGUGCUUAACACAUGCAAGUCGAACGGAAAGGCCCUGCUUUUGUGGGGUGCUCGAGUGGCGAACGGGUGAGUAACACGUGAGUAACCUGCCCUUGACUUUGGGAUAACUUCAGGAAACUGGGGCUAAUCCCGGAUAGGAGCUCCUGCUGCAUGGUGGGGGUUGGAAAGUUUCGGCGGUUGGGGAUGGACUCGCGGCUUAUCAGCUUGUUGGUGGGGUAGUGGCUUACCAAGGCUUUGACGGGUAGCCGGCCUGAGAGGGUGACCGGCCACAUUGGGACUGAUAUACGGCCCAGACUCCUACGGGAUGCAGCAGUGGGGAAUAUUGCGCAAUGGGCGGAAGCCUGAUGCAGCAACGCCGCGUGCGGGAUGACGGCCUUCGGGUUGUAAACCGCUUUCGCCUGGGACGAAGCGUGAGUGACGGUAGUGGGUAAAGAAGCACCGGCUAACUACGUG